GGAUGUGAGGAUGAUCAGGCUGGAACAUCUGUCACCCCAUUGAUCACCUGGGUUGAUUCCGCUUAUCUGGCUAGUGAGGCAGGUGUUCCCUUCCUCCCUCAAUGCUUCAUGUGCUUCCCUCCCAAAGCUGCGUACUCAUGCUCAGUUGAAGAGAAUGACCUUCCCUGAUAGAGGAGGACCAUUCUUUGGUCAAGGUUGUGUACAAGUAGCUGUGUUACCCUGCUAGAAUCUCCAAAGAAACUCUUGAGAUCCAUAAAAAGGCAGCAGGCAGGAUGUAGCUCAUUGGCAAUAGUUGGCCUAGUGAGCCAGAAACCAGUUGU
rnacentral:snRNA from 1 species